rnacentral:miRNA from 1 species
UCAGAACAGCUGACAGCAGU